UACGUAGGGUGCAAGCGUUAUCCGGAAUUAUUGGGCGUAAAGAGCGUGUAGGCGGCUUGGUAGGUCCGCUGUGAAAACUCGAGGCUCAACCUCGAGAUGUCGGCGGAAACCACUUGGCUAGAGUCCGGAAGAGGAGAGUGGAAUUCCCGGUGUAGCGGUGAAAUGCGCAGAUAUCGGGGAAGAACACCUAUGGCGAAGGCAGCUCUCUGGGACGGUACUGACGCUGAGACGCGAAAGCGUGGGGAGCGAACAGG
rnacentral:rRNA from 1 species